GGGGUUGUAGCUCAGUUGGGAGAGCGCCUGAAUCGCACUCAGGAGGUCGGGAGUUCGAAUCUCCUCAAUUCCA
rnacentral:tRNA from 1 species